rnacentral:pre_miRNA from 1 species
AAAAAAAACAAACCCUGGUUUCCGUGCUCAAUGUUUGACCGUUCGUCUUAUUUGAAAAAGUUAUGAAAAAAAUAAAAAGACAAGUCACGCAUAAAAUAUUAAUCAUGUUUUAUCAUCUAACAACAAUGAAAAUACGAAUUAUAAAAAAAUUUCAUAUAAGACGGACAAUCAAAGUUGGACACGGACACGGAAACGCAUGGUUUGCCUUUUU